UCCCUCGUGGCUCAGUGGUAAAGAAUCUGCCUGCAAUGCAGGAAACCCAGGUUCAACUUCUGGGUCGGGAA
rnacentral:tRNA from 1 species